AUUGCAAAUAUCGGAGAGACAGACAGCAAGGUUUAUACAAAUUGACUUCAGGGUGCAGUUCGCGGCCGGGCUCAAUGUGGGCGGAGUCAAACGUCGGGGCCGGGCUCAAUGUGGGCGGAGUCAAACGCGUUUAACCCAAAACCUUCCCGUCUCCUUCGAGGUCAAGCAAGUUGAGAAACAUUCCUCGGAUCUUGUCCCCUGGACCUUGGAGGACUUUUGUGGAUGAUGAUCAGGGCCUACCAAAGCAAGGUUUCUCAAACAACUGUGGGGUGUUUGUUUUGAUGGUAAGAUGCUGGCAAUUCAGUAUAUUAUAUUAGUCCUAUUUUCUGUUAUAACAUAUGAAAAGUUAUUAUUUC